UGUCUUUACACUAUAAAGCCGGUGUGGGACAGACUCCACUUCAACCCUUUCUUCGAUUUUCAACAUUUCAGCCCUGUCACAGGGUCCUUUGCCUGUUUGUUUCACAAUCAUCAACUCAUUUUAAGUUUCUUUUAUUUGUUUCAGUUCUGAUCUAUUCACCAACUCAUAACAAUCUCGAAGUCAUUUCCUGUUUUCAAAUGAAAUGUUGAUAAGCCUGAUUUCAGAACAUACAGAUCUAUAUAUCUGCUCAGAACUGAAGAGAUGUUUAUUAGUUUCGUAUUGGUUCAUCAUCAAUAUGUUGUUGAUCACUUGGAUGCAGAGAUAACACUACAGAACCUGUAACUUCUGUUCGUGAAGAUUAUGUUCACAUUUAUAGGCCGAGACGGGUCGGAUAGAAUUGCAAGGAAGACAAUGAUAAGGAUGAAGAUGAUGCUUUGCACAGAGAUUGGAAUAGCCCUUAUAAGCAAAUGGGUGAUUGUAUGCAUGAAGGAGACUCAAAAGAAGCAAUUCGGGUCUGUCUUUAAGAUGUCGGGUUUACUCGGGUCAAGACCGACAACCGACCCGAGACCGAAAUUACAUGAAAUAUGGAACCGAUAGGAGCCCGAAAAACAUAAAUACAGGUCAGCGAGAACCGACCCGAGACCGAAAUUACAUGAAAUAUGGAACCGAUAGGAGCCCGAAAAACAUAAAACAGGAACCACGAGAAGGCUGAAUGACACAGAGUACUGUCAUCUCAUUCAAUAUGCACAGUUGCUUUAAAUAAUGACUCCACUUCAACCCUUUCUUCACACUAUAAAGCCGAUGUGGGACUGACUCCACUUCAACCCUUUCUUCAAUUUUCUAACAUUUCAGCCCACUCACAGGGUCAUUUGCCUGUUUGUUUCACAAUCAUCAACUCUUUUUUUUAACUUUGUUUUAUUUGUUUCAGUUCUAAUCUAUUCACCAACUCAUAACAAUCUCGAAAUCAUUUCAUGUUUUCAAAUGAAAUGUUGAUAAGCCUGAUUUCAGAACAUACAAAUCUAUAUAUCUGCUCAGAACUGAGGAGAUGAUUAUUAGAGAAAAGAAAACCUUUAUUUUUCAAAGUUUCGUAUCGGUUCAUCAUCAAUAUGUUGUUGAUCACUUGGAUACAGAGAUACAACUACAGAACCUGCAACUUCUGUUCGUGAAGAUUAUGUUCACAUUUAUAGGCCGAGACGGGACCGAUUGAACUGCAAGGUGGUUUGACAUGCAAAAGAGUGCUUAUAGGUGGUCAACAAAAUUGUUUUCAAAUAUGGGUAAGUCGUUGUAUGAAACAACGACCUUCUGCAAAGAUUCUGACAUAAUUCUGUCAAAGCUGCAAUAAUGUGAACAUCGCUAUUUGGCUUUACAAUCUUAUACAAAGGUCGCUGUUUCAUGUUAAAAACUAACAUAAGGUCGCUGUUUGGUAUCUAAAAGUAAUUAAGAUCGCUGCUUCAGUUGGAAAUGUAAUAUAAGGUCGUUGUUUCAUCCGGAAAAGUGAUCCCUGUAUGUAAAGAUAGGUCGCUGUUUCAUCCGGAAAUGUAAAAGAAGAUCGCUGAUUGAACCAGAAUAUUAUUAAGGUCGCUGUUUCAUGAGUAAAUCUAAAGAUAGGUCGCUAUUUGAAGAGUAUAUGUAAUUGAAGUUUGCUGUUUUAUCCAGACUAUUAAUAAAUUUGUUGUUCGAAUGCAGAAGAGUAAGGCUGUUCACAUGUGACUUUAUUUUGAAUUUGUGGCAGCAUUAAAACACUGCAAUAUGCAGCAGAAUCACAUGAACCCCUCUUUCCACAUGCUAGCAUGCAUUAAAACCCCUGCAUUCUUGUAAUGCAUGCAAGGAAAAGAAAUUGGUGAUAUGACUACACCAUCAGAAAUCAAAUUCAGUAUAAUAUUAAAUCUGCUUGUGUAAGAUUUACAUACUGUUUAGAGGGUUGGGAUUCGAAAUAUUGCACAGUAGCCUACAAUUGAAGCCAGAUUUGAGCAGAAGAUAGGUGUAAGCAUGAUUAUUCAAAGAGUAGUCAUAUCCUAUAAUUGUACAUACAUGCAGAUAAAAGUUCGUAUGAAGAAGAAUAUAUACCCAUACACACUUCAUUUCAAAAUUCUAAGAAACCCACCAAGAAACAAUACUUUGCAAAUACAUUUUGUGACAACCUCGAUCUGUUUAAAAUGAGUUUCGAAUGCAAUCCUGGUCCUCUUAGUGACACGUUGUUGUUUUUGCACAAGGAUCACCGUGCAUUCGAGGUUUUCAAGGAUCCUAAAAAUUACCGUCAACCAAUAAAUAUUAAACGAUCAGAUCGUUCGUUCGUUUUGGAAGCAUCUGAAAUAACAUCCUGUUGGACCACAGGUAGAAGUAUUAAUACGUGCAGCAACAUUCAGUGGGAUCCUGGAUAGUGGGUACCGGUAUAUAGACCACGCGUUAAUAAACGCGUUGGUUGAGCGGUUGAGGCCAGAAACCCACACGUUUCACCUCCCUUUUGGUGAAACGACUGUGACCUUACAAGAUGUUAACGUGUUGUGGGGGCUACCAAUAGAGGGGGUGCCUGUAUAUGGGGCUGACAGUGCGAUAACAUUCGCUGCGGCAGCUUCGUUGUGUGAAAAUUUGUUGGGGUUUACCCCGGCUUAAAAUCAUGUGAGGGGCAAAAGGGUUAGUUCGGUGCGCAUUUUAGAAGAAAUAAAGUCGGAGUUUUCAGAAAACGACGCAUCGGAUGAAGAGUGCAUUAUUCAUGCACACAUUUUUUAAUUUUUUAUUUGAUAGGGUACACGGUGUUCCUGAUAAUGCGAACAACUUGAUAUCUCUAAAUUUUUUGGACUUUCAAGAAGAUUUGACUGCAUGUUCGGUGUUAGUUGGGGCAGUGCUGCAUUAUGCGCAAAUCUAGUGAAGUGUUUUAUGUAAAAUAUUUUAACCAUAAACAUACAUGUUCGAAGACGUAGACACAUCCAUGCCUGCGUCAGGCAAAGUCAAAGGUUGUGGGAAGUUACGUAAAGAACAAUUAAAGGAUGUCGGGCGUGUUUACCGAGCUACUAAUAUCAUUAAAGAUUUUAGACAAAAUUUACAAGUUAAUCUAUCCUACAUGCAAGCCUGGCGUGGUAAAUGUAAUGCAUUACAAAUUCUGCAAGGAACUUCAGAAAAAUUCUUUUGCCGAACUCCCACUAUACUGCUACAAUUUGGAGAGGCCAAAUCCAGAACAGUGACACACAUAUUGACCGACGAUGAGAGUCGCUUUGAAAUGGUACUUGUCGCAAUCGGUGCUGUGAUAAAUGUGAUUUUGUCUAUACGUAAUAUAUUUUUAUAUAACUUUGUUAUAUUUCCGUUAAAUAUUUAAUAUUUAUUUGGUUCCAUCGUACAAUUUGGGUGACUUCUAAUGUUUAUGUAAUUCAUAUAUAUAUAUAUUUUAAUUAGUAUUUCGAGUGUUAAGAAAAACCAAAUUUAAUUAAAUAAUAAUAAUAAAUACCAACAUAUCUAUCUAACACCUAUAAAUAGGCAACCAAACUACAUAUUUCAUACCGAACAACAUAUUUCAAGUGUUCCAAACCUAACACCAUAUUUCACAACAAUGUUUAACUCAUCGUCAUGGUGGCCUGAGGAGGAAGACAUAGCAGUUGCUAUGUCUUUUGUCGAAGUGGUACACUUAGGUUCGUAUCCUAGCAUGAACGACAAAUUUUGUAAAACAUUGAGUUUUGUCUCCAUCUUGAGACAAAUCGUGACGUGGAUCAAGUUAAGAGAUGCGAUUGUUUACUCCGCUACAGAUGUUCAUUGUUUUUUUCGAUUUUCAACAAUGUUGAAAAUCCAAAUAAUAACCUUUCUAAAGAUGAUCUCC